UGCGCUAAAGAUAUCCUUCUGGAAAAGAUUUGAACUGUAAUAUCCUAUGUCCAGCAAGAACCAGCAGACAGUGGUUCCAAGCAAGUGAAGCCCAUGUCUACGGGCAAAUUCCUUGGUGAAAAGACCAAAUGAAUUGGAUGGGUCAUGAGAUAUCUGCUCUACCUUCUGCUCUUCUGCUUCAAGCUCCACCUGCAGUACUCUAGACAUGUCUGAAGCUGCCUGCUUCGCAUUCUUUGCAACGAGAGCUGUGUAACGAGCUGUCUCAGGCAUCUUCAUUCGCCAGUAGUAAGUCAUGGCUGCUGGUACAGCUCCAAACAUCAAAAUGAUUCGCCAAACAUAGUCUGCUUCCGGCACGGUUGAGCCUAAUGGAUUAACUUCAUAAGUAGGGGCGCUGUAGGCAUGAUCAAAGGCAGCUGACACAAUCAGAGCAACAAUCCCACCAAUUAGAAUUCCAAAUCCUUGCAUUGCAAACACUGCGGCGAUAAAUGCCCCACGAGUCUUUUUAUUAGCA
rnacentral:misc_RNA from 1 species